CAUAUCAACAAAAUCGCUUGAAAAUGUCCAGUAAUCACCAUCGAGAUUAAGUAUAGUCAUUUUACAAGACGUAAAAUCAAUUCCGUUUUAUAGAUGACGCAAACCAUCGAGUAACAAGUUUCUUAUCGCAGGUUGUCAGGUUGUUGGUAACGUCGUCAGUUUUAUGUAAAACGAUUCCAGAAACUUGGAUGCUCGUCUCCGCGUACAGAUAAAUCUGUAUACUUCUUGGAAAUGACGCGACUCCACCCAGUGUAGCGCGGAAGUGCAUCGCGUCAGACCGAUCGUGAUCUCGUCUCCGAUUAACUGUAUCGAAAUUUGCAUAAUUCCCGUGGUUACGCGAUGCUAUUAUAUCUCGCGAGAUGCCAUAGUCUUCCGUUCACCGUGGAAUCGUGAAUCAGAGCUCGACUUGUAUCGAACGAUGGCGUGGUGCCGUUCAAAGUAGGCUAACUGCGCCUAACCAGGGAUUCCAGCGUAAACACGUACUAAAAAGCAAUGUUUACAAUAAACAAUAGCACAGCGAUAGCACAAGAUUCGAAAACGAUGUCGGUAUUAAGAUUCGAAUAAAGGACAGAGUUUUGUCUUAUUCUCAGAACCGUAAAAAAACGAAGCUGCCUCCUUAUUGCAGCACAGCCCUCAAUUGGAACGCGCCUUGUGUCGCUGUGUGCACGAAAGUGUUUGUUUAGGGAUAUUUGAAUUUGAAAGGACCCGAUCAGACGAACGAGCUCUAGCAACAACGAUAUACAACAUAUUUCGUCAGCGAGCAACCGCACUUGUUCAAUCGUUCACUUGGUCGGAGGCCGAGCCGAAUGAAGCCGAGUCCCCGCAACCGGAACGUCACGGAAAUAGUAUUACAGACUGCGUCGACGGCCGUUCGUCGGGAUAUUACGCAAUAGGUCUCAGCCUGGGUUCUGUUCAGGUGUACAUACGCGGGGAUUCCUUGUGGUGCCAAUCGUCUGGCGCUCUAUUCACCGCACACACGUCCGAGUUAACUGUGUGCUGGCGAACUAGACGACGACAGACGCGGGAUCUGGCACACGCGAGAAGCCUCCUACGGCAUCCGUGGAAUUCGUCAAGCGUGGCUUGACCAAGAUUUCAAAGGAAAUUGUGGUUAAAAAUCGUCUCGACUACUUCGCAUUUCCGGUUGUUACAUUAAUUCUGGGGCACCCCGUAUACUAUCUUUUGUUACCGAGAGUCUGACAUUCCUUUGUCGUUGGAUCGUUUAUUUGCAUUCGAGGAGAAACAACGUUACAUAAAAAUCGCAGCGAUGCCUCCAUGAUGGGGGUGGCACAGUAAAGAAAGCAAUUGUUCUCCGAGAAACGCAGCUCUCUCGAUUAUUCUUCCCCGGCAUUGUUUCUUCCUAUCUAUGGACUGGCCAAACGGCUCUGGCUUCUCCCUUAGAUCGUCGAUAUUUCGAACCUGGAAAUUUCGACGGUGCAAUCAACACGCUUGGACGGAGUUACGAGGUCAUAACGUUACGUAUAGAACGUAAACGUAAAGUGUGGAGCGUGGCACGUAAGUCGUAAAAGCUGGUAGUUUAGUAGAACGCCCUCCGAUACGAAUACAAUCGCCCUGGAGUUGCGCCUAGGUGUUGUUACGUCGAUGUGCUCGUAUCGGUGCGUCUGUGGACCACAUAAAGUUUCCCCGAAUGUAGAAUGUUAUGCCGGUAUUAGAAUGUAUCGCGAGUAAGGAUAUUCUGGACUUUACACUCGGCCCAGCAAAAGUUAAGAGUGUUCCAUACGAAAGAAACCUGACCUCCAUGAAUCCUGCGUCAAAGAACGGCCAACGUUCUUAUCGAUCUAGAUCAAAAUUUCGAGUAAAGAAUAGAGAAAGAACGAAAUUUUAUACAUAGUCACAU